rnacentral:ncRNA from 2 species
CCUUCCGAGGAGCGUUGCAGCGUGCACCCGAUGGGCGGUGCCGUGAGGCUCGGAAGGGCAGCAGACCGUGGUCACGCGGCCUCGCUCCUAGGCAACGACGCUCACCCACG